ensembl:lncRNA
CGAUGCAAAGGUAGUGAUCCUCAGUGUUCUGUCAGGACACAUCCCUCUGGAGGGAACGUGACAGACAGGGAUCGAAUUCAGGACCUUGCGCUUUCGAGGCAGGCGGCAGAACCACUGAGAUAAAUCCUUGGCCCUUGAAUACCAAAUUUUUAUGUCACCAAAUGCAAACGAUCCUGAGAAUAAGGAAGCCCGUAAGUGAAGCCACUUGGAGGACUAUUAAAGGAACUUUAAUAACCGUGAGUUUUUAAAGUGGAAAAGCUCAGAAGAUUUUAAAAGAUCCACAGACCACAGGCUGAAAUACUGCUGCUGCAUCAGGGCUUCCUGGCUUAUCAUUCGAGUGGAGGAAGUCCUUACCCACGGAAACAUGGACCCAGCUCUUUCAGGAAAUUAGAAAGCAGGCACAGCAUGGCUGGACAGUGUGUACUCAGACACAACUCGAUGCAUAAGGCCAAACGGGUGAGGCAGGUGUCCCUAGCAGCCAGCACCAGUCCUGGCCAGGCAGGGGGUCCCAGGAUACGGGAGGCUGCACAGCUGGUGCAGUGGCCAGGGCCCCACCUCUGGGGUCUUCGCGCACCUGCCAUUCUUUUGGCGUUCUCAGUGGCCCCUGGUCUUUCCUGGUGGGAUGUGCUGGUGCCCUUCACCGCUGCCCGGCUCAGCACCUACCUCACCACCAUUGUGUCUGUGCAGCUCUUCCAGGACUGGGAGCAGCGGCUGGCUGCUGUGCUGUGCCUCCUCUGGGUCCUCACCGUCUUAGCCUCCACUUUGUCUUUGAGAGGCUGCUGUGCUAGAAGCUGGUGGAGCAAACUCAGCACUCUGGCUCACCCUGAUCACUGUCUUCAUGAUCGAGCCUCUGGCAGGGCCGGAGGGGAGCGCUGCACAGUGGGAGUGCCGGUCCUGACUGGGGCUGCUUGAGCCACACCAGAGGAGGUCUUGGCCUGAAGGCAGCACCUGCUUGUGCCCGGCUGGGUACCCAGUUUCCUCCCAGUCACAUCUGAGAUUUUUCCUCAUCAGGCUAAGAAGAGCAGCCUUGAUCCCUGAAAUGUAUUUCCUGUUAUUCAUGCCUUGAGUAGCUAAUCCUGACUGAGAUCCUGAGCAGGGCCCCGGGGCAGAGGAAACUUAAGUCAAGGGUCCUGCUGGGCUCUAAGUAUUCUCCACAGUGGGGAUGGACUCCUCUCCAAAAGCAGCAAACUGGGCUUGGGGACUUUGUCCGGCCAGCAGCACUGACCCAAGAGCUCACUGGUCCCGUCCAUGCAGGUCACACUUCCUUAGACAGCUGAGCUCUGAGAGUGCAAGAGAGCUUGCAUUUCCCGCCCUGCAUUACAGGAGAGAGAAGCCCUUCUUCAGACAGAAGAAUGUUGCUAAGAACCUAACUGGGACCCUCUCCAGAUACCCGCCACCUGGGAAUACCUGCUGCCAAAGCACUGCAGGGCUUUCUGCCACAGCCGGCUGCAGCCUCAUGGACUCUUCCACCACCUUGUGGCCGGCACCAUCAGCGCACCUGAGACAGACUUCAGGCUCCCUAAGCAACCAAAGAUAGAAACAGUGGUCUGGUGAUGGUGGGCAUGGAGAGACCUGCAGAUGGGAGCUUGUUUCUAUCUUUGGUUUCUUUGCCUAAAGUCUUUGGUUUGAUGUGUCAGGUGCCAAAUGACAUUUGCUGAGAUGAAAAUAAAAGUGCUUUUUUGGAGAAAAAAA